rnacentral:rRNA from 1 species
AUUAACGCUAGCGGCAGGCAUAAUACAUGCAAGUUGAACGGCAGCACAGGUAGCAAUACUGGGUGGCGAGUGGCGCACGGGUGCGUAACACGUAUGCAACCUACCCUAUACAGGCGAAUAACCUUUAGAAAUGAGGGCUAAUACGCCGUAGUAUUACAGAUGGGCAUCUAUUUGUAAUUAAAGAUUUAUCGGUAUAGGAUGGGCAUGCGUCCCAUUAGUUAGUAGGUAAGGUAACGGCUUACCAAGACGAUGAUGGGUAGGGG